UACGUAGGCAGCGAGCGUUGUUCGGAAUUACUGGGCGUAAAGAGUGUGUAGGCGGUGUUCCCAGUCUGUUGUGAAAUCUCCCGGCUUAACUGGGAGGGUGCAGCGGAAACUAGAAUGCUAGAGGGUGGGAGAGGUAAGCGGAAUUCCUGGUGUAGCGGUGAAAUGCGUAGAUAUCAGGAGGAACACCUGUGGUGUAGACAGCUUACUGGACCACUUCUGACGCUGAGACGCGAAAGCCAGGGGAGCGAACGGG
rnacentral:rRNA from 1 species